rfam:Lutzomyia longipalpis Contig10173, whole genome shotgun sequence.
UUGGCAGGGGCUGUGAGCCGAGCAUUCUGGCGAUGGCAGCACAAGUACGUGCAGCCCAAGAGGACUGGAGUUGCUCCAUUCUUCCAGCUCACGGUCAGUGCUAUGAUUUUCUUCUACUGCAUCAACUACGGAAAGAUCAGUAAGUCUCUCUUCUGGCCAUUCAUGAGCUCUUCCUGACAUUUUUUUGGAUUAUUUUUUCAGAGCGCCACAGGAACUACAA